AUCAACAACAACAAGCUGUGGAUCAAGUGACCGAUUGGCGAGUGCUUGAUAAAUUCGUUGCUUCUCAGCUUAGCCAUGAAGAAGGUUCCAAGGAAAACAACUAUACUACCAAUGCAGCAGCAGCAGCAGCUACCAGCUAUCAAGUGGCUGAACAAAUAAAUUUGCCGACCAAUGAAUCAAAAAGGGCAGAUAUUGGUCAUCAUCAUCAAGAAUAUGCUUCUACAUCCACUUCAAGUUGUCAAAUUGAUUUGUGGAAGUGAAAGCAUAUUCUAGCAAAAUUAGUGCAUACAUAUACUAAUUAUAGGAAGCCACAUUUAUAAGAAGAAACAAGCCUCAAAUCCAGGGUUUUUCUGUACAUAAUAAACCUAUAAAAUGGUAUUUGCAUUAGUUAAAGGACUGUUGGGGUCCUUAAUUUGUAUUGAUAUAUUAAUAUUAAGCACAGUUCUUAUUAAAUUGAACAUUGUGCAAAGUACAAAUAAAUAUUAGUAUACUUUUAGGUGAAAACUAUGGCCGACUGGCUCUUUGGGAACUGAUUCGGCCUAAUAUUGAAAAUGUAUUUGCAGCUUAAUAUUGCAUAUCAAGGGUUUCUUUGUUGUAUUCUUUACUUAUUUUUAGACCAUUUAUGUUUUCAUACUGAUGCAUGCAAGUUAGUAUAAGUUCAAUCCAUUUGAUUAAAUGUUCAUACUUUGAACUUGUGUUUUUUGAUGAAGAUUUUGAUGUUUGAAACAGUGAUCAUAAAAGUUGAUGGCUAAGCUGAGAAGCAACGAAUUUAUCAAGCAACGAAUUUAUCAACGAACCCAAAUGUUAAAGUACAAUUUGGGUUCAUUUUAGCUUGAGAUUCGAAAGUACAAUUUUUAUUCACAUGCAUUGAUAACAUUUAAACCAUAAUUUGGUUUCAGCAUCUGAUAUUAUACUAGAUACUAAUUAUGCUUUAAAGUUCAAAUGUUAAAGACCAAAUUAUGGUUUAAAUGUUAUCAAUGCAUGUGAAUAAAAAUUGUACUUUCGAAUCUCAAGCUAAAAUGAACCCAAAUUGUACUUUCGAAUCUCAAGCUAAAAUGAACCCUUGUUUUUAACUUCAUUCCCUUCACAUUGAACUUAAUAAGGGAAACUAAAAGCCACUAGCACUGAGUUACCAAAAUUGAAAACAAGAAAAUGGAAUAUGCUAGCUAUGGAAAAUUCUCCUAAUGGUAAUGCAUGUACUUGAUGAUGAGCUAAAGUGGUCUUCAAAUCCAAACACAAAGCAAAGAAAAUGGCCUUGGACUCCCCAAAUAGUUAGUUAAUGGUAUGUCAACAUGGGUUGGUUUAAUUGAUUGACUACUCAUUAGCAUGCUUGCAAGCACUAAAGAUUCAAAUCUCACUGAUAAUCUCAUUUGAAUGGUGAUCUGUAAGUACCACUUAGAACUCUUUACGAAAUCAAUGACAUGCACUUUAUCUAAACUUAGAUAGCUUCCUCUACCCUAAACUUUUUGUAAUAAAAAAAAAGUUAGAAAGAAAAAACACAAAAAGAUAGUGGAGAAUAUCAAGUGCCAAAUGUGAGAUAAGAGAGCAUGUGCAUUUCUCAAAUGCAUGACAAAGAAUUCUAGAUGCUAAUAUUUACAAAGUUAUUCUUUGUUCACAAAAUUAUAAGUUAUAAUGUUUGGCUAAAUGUGAAGAAUACAAAGAUUGGCACCCCAAAAAAGAAGAAAAAGGAACACCCCUUGUUGGAGAAUUUCACUACCUAGGAUACCAUUGGUAUAGCUGCAUACCUGUUCUAGAAGAUAAACUAAGAUGGAGGCACCCCGAUAUUCUAUCUUCUUCAUAUUAGCUUAGCAGGUACUCCUUAGAUCCUUA
rnacentral:lncRNA from 1 species